UUCAGUAUUCAUUCAGAGCUUGUAACUCAAAUACUAUCUUCGAUUCGACCUAAAAAUUUACUAUAUUUUGGCAUAGGUUAUUUUUUCUUAAUCCUGGUUCAGUUUAAAAUUGUAUAUAAAAUUAUGGAUUACUUUGAGAAUGCACAAAUUGGUGGCUAUCGAAUCAAUAUGCCAUUUCCUCAAUUAUUUUAUCCCGAGAUGAACGGCACAAACAAGAGCUACGAUCAGGCGGGUGCUCCACAUUUGAGCGGCCAACAAUUCCAAAGCGAUUAUUACGACAGCGGCUGCAAGCCAGAUCUUGGCCAUUCGCCUUACGGAUGCAAUGAGGAUUACCCACCCCGGCAUUCGGUAACAAAUAGCUCGUUCGCCUAUCGUAGCAUGGACCGUCACAAUCGACGAGCCCGGGAAAUGUUGGCCCGCAAUGGUUUGUAUACACCCAAUGAUAGGGGCCAUAAGCAGCCCGAAUAUCCUCAAUUUGCGGAUGAUUCCAUUGGACAGUCCGUCACGGUCAACUCAUAUUGGCAAUAAUGGUGAUGUCUCGAUAUCCAUUCUUUAUUAUUGGUUAUUUUCGUAGUAAAAGUUCGUUUUCGGUCAUAUAAUGAAUGCCAGGACGGAUGUUUGUCAGUCAAUGCUUCCCUAACAGAAUAAUAUGUGUGAAAUUGGUGGAAGAACGUUGCAUAACCUCAGAUGGGCUUCGUGUCGAAUAUGUUACUUGCUUUACGGAUAAUCCAUCAAUUCAGAGAAUGUGGUUAGCUUAUCUUGGUGGGACGGAUAGUAACGCCCGGGAACGCUACGAGAUAAUUUUUUGUUUGCAUUAAAUAAUUUUGCAGGGAUAAA